AAAGAAAAGUAAUAAUUUAGUUAAAAGUGAAGCUAGUAUAGCUUGCCCAGAGAAAUUAUGGCUAUUUCAUCUUUUAAAUGUUUUUAAAGGCAGGCCGGUGGGGCUAGGAGCAGCGUGCUCUAGUGAAAUGUGUCCCGCUGCAAAGGGCUGUAACCGGAUCCCUUCCGCCCCACCCGCUCCGAACUCCGGAUGAUCCCGGGAAUUCCAGCCCCGUUAUCCCACGUGGCCCCGGCCGCGCACACCGGGUGCAUUCCCCGCCUCCGCCGCUUGGCGUCCCCCGCAUCACGUGGCGGGAGACUCCAAGUCCCAGCGUGCCGCGCGCCGCCCGCGCAGCGUCACCACGGCGGCGGGGCGUGUCCGGGGGCUGCCGGGAAAUGGAGUCUCCGGCGGGCGGGCCGCGUGUGCCAGCACAGCCCGUCCGAGACCGCCACCUCCCCCGCCCCCGGGAGCCGUCCCCUCCACAUCCCACACGCGGCCGUUCCCCACCCCCGAGCACUGCAGCACCCGGCACCGCCCCAGGCCGCCCCCAGCGAGAUUUCAGCAAGGAGGAUUGUUGAUGUCUGGACACCUCUGCAAAACCCCCUGGGGGGAAAGAAGGCUGAGAGAAACCAAGCACAGCACCUUUAGCUCCCCUAAAUCCCAGCCCCAGCUGCCUGGAUCCCUGUGAGCUGCCUCCAAAGGUUUAUCUCGGAGAUCUGAACUGGCUGAACGCAGCUCAAGGUUUGCUCCUCACCUCAGAGCUCAUGAGGAAAGCCAAGCACGUGGGCUGGUUCAGCAGGAAGGUCACAGCAGGGCGAGGAUGAAGCCACCAGCGGUUGUUGUGCUGCCAUUAUUUAUUUACCAGCUUGACAGCAUGAAACCCAUCACAGCACAGAAAAUGGAACGAGUUGAGUUGAGCUGCAGCGCUUCAGCUGCAGCACCUUUAUUUAUAAAACAACCAACCAAAAAAAAAAUUAUUAAA